rnacentral:lncRNA from 1 species
ACCCUGUGGGUAAAAUGUUUGUGGUUAGGACCUUUGAAUUAUAAAAAUUCACUAACCAAUGAAACAAUAUACUAGAAAGACUAAAGUACAUGCACGCCAACAACGUUGCCGACAGAAUCAUGAUAGUAGUGAAUUGUCCAAGAUCAGUUUCUCGCUUAUGACAACUCAGACUGGACGGGUUUUGCGGGAAACUCGUUCAAAUUUACCUGCAUCUUCGCAUUCGUCUGCGUCGACGAAUUCUGGUCCCUGCUAGACCAGAAACAUGUCGAAAUUUACACUAAGACCAGGGCUCCAGACAAAAGCGAAGCACUUUGUUAUUGCAACUUGGCGCCUCUAACCCGUCCUUAUUUAAAUUUUUAGAGCAAGUUUAAAUGAGUAUUUUGCAUCACGAAUUUCCAAUAGGACGCAAAACUCAUCGGACAGGUUACCGUUCUUGUCCCGUAAUGUGAAUACAACUAGUGUUGUGCAGCCGGCCUUUUUGUACAUAGCUAUCUUUUGGACGGUCGCGAUGGGGUUAACCCUUUAAACGGGCAAAAAAUUCAGUCGUAGGCUAAACACUGUUUUUUUUUUUUUUGCAAUUUAAAGCAGCAAAGGCCAUACAGCACGUUUGUUAUUUCUUCACAGGCAUAUAAAUCUAUUACUAUAGUAGUAAGAUAUCAGUCAAUAAUUUGGCAUCCUAGGCCGCCUUAAACACGUUUUACAGUAAUCAAAAUAAAUUUUCAACUUUUUAAAACAAUAAAAAAAAUGUUGACUUUGUAAAAUAGUGGUUGUUAAUUUUUAAGAAUUCUGUUAACUGUAAGGAAGGUAAAUUAAGCGUCAGCCGUUAAAAUGCCAAAUUAUUCACCGUUUGCUGUAAAAGGCACCACCCCAUUGAGAACCUCCUUGUGUUUUGACUGGGAAAAAAAAAACAGGAAGAUUUAAGCAAUAAAAAAACAAAACUGUUUCACGAUAUUAAAAUUGUUCUCGUCUCUCUAAUUGCUCUCGUUUUUCUCAAAGAUAUCAGGCAGAUGUUUUUGGGCUACUAUUAGUAAAAAACUCGUCUUCUUGGUGUCAUGUUGUUUUUUAACCGAUAUCUAGUAGAGGAAACUCGUACAACUGAGCCCAGCCUCUAGACGUAUAUUACAGGUGGUCUUUUUUUAAUCCAUAUCUGAGAACCAAAUUUGGUAUUGUUUUUCAAAACCUGUCGGCAUAUUUUGAUAUUGAGCGCCAAUAGGUGAACAAGCACAACAAUGGGGCACAUGUCGGCUUAUUCAUAUUCUGGCAUACAAGUGCGUAUAUCUUCUCCUUCUGGUGUUCAUACAUUUCUUUUGUUAUCAGUUAGAGGAAUUUCCUUAUACAUCAAUUCCCUUAAUGAUCAGUUUGUUACAAUAACUACAUAAGUUAUUUGACUUAAUUUGUUUUCAAAGCUGACGUUAUAAAACAGUUCCUUAAGAAGCGGCUUGCACUUUUACAAAGCGUCAAACUGACUCGUUCAGCUUACUGAAGGUGACCAAGAUGGACAAAGUAAUGGCCAUUGCUUUUCUUUUCCUCUUUAGCGUCGUUUUUCUUAUGAUAGAAGAAAGUUCUGGAGUGGCUCCUAGCUGUUUCGGCGAGAGCCCAUUGCCUGCCUGUAACAAAGGAAAGGUAAACGGGUUUAAGAGAGGAAUCUGCCGCGCUGCUCGACGAUUGAACUGCGAACAACUUCUGCAAGACGAGAACACGAACCCAAGAGAUGAGCAAACCGCUCCACGAUACUAACUUCUAAGCAUCAUGUAACCUCAAGGAGCCUCAAAUAAAAUGUAAACUCGUGUGA